GGGUUAUUCCUUGAACAUGGUGAAAUUGACCUUUUUUGGUUGAAUUUGUUGAAAUAUUGGCAUAACAAGCUGCCGAGAUGACAUCGUAAUAAUUCCUCGACUGCAAUCAAGAUAUUCACCUGACAGGUUUCAAAUAAAUUUAAUUUAUCGCUAAAAAUGACAUUUAACACUUCGAACACAGAAACUUGACCCUUCAACAUCAAAGUCCCGAUAGAUGAGCGUCCCUUCUGUAAGGAUUUCUGUGCCUCAACCAUUCAACACGGCGACAUCUUUGAAGAAAAAUUUAAAUUACAUCAUAGACAAACAACGAGGAUACUAUUUUCCUUAGUUUAUAGGACCUUCGACUAUAUUUGAGCCAACAACAAUGAUUCAAUAUUCAAAAUAAAAUGUUACGAAAAUAGAACAAUAUCCUACCUAAAAAUUAUGCUGUUUCAAAAUAAAUCACAUGCACCCAUUUUAGUUUGCUGGUAAACAGGGGUAACAAAUAGAUACAUUCUAUAAAGAAUGUUUAGUGAUCAAAACUUCAGCAAGUAUUUUUCGAAGUGAAAAAUAUACAUGUUUCUAGAUUUUAUUUUACAACAGGUAGAUUUAUAUAGUAGGAAAGAAAACAAAACGUGGAACAACCAUUAGAUGCAUUGGUGGAUUUGAAACAAUAGAGGAAUCAAAAACUCAGGAGAUAACUCAAAAAUAACAAUGUGUGUUCCAUAUGCGCGUUAUAGAAGAGGAAAGAAAAUCGCCAAAGGUGUUGACGCCUUUGAUUACAUGGAGAAACGAACUGCCAGUCUACCUUUAUUUGUUGAGGACUUACCUAGCAACUUGAACCCAGGUACAUGUAUCAGUAUUCGCGGAUUUGUCAGUCCUGAUUGCUCAAGGUUUUCCAUCAACUUAUGCGGUUCAAAAAAUCCCAAUAGCGACAUAGCAUUGCAUAUCAAUCCCCGAUUUUCUCAAAGGUGAGUCUUC